AGCGCUUGGAGCCACUCAGUGUUCUGUGUUCAUUCAGACAGACAGGAGGGCAACAUGCCAACAUUAUUCCUCUUCUCUUGGCUCAUUGGGGUUUGUCUGGGUGAUGAAGUCUACCAAACUCCUCCAGAACUUCUCAGAAGACCUGGAGACAAAGUCGAGCUGGUCUGCAGCCAUGAAAGGAGCUACUUCAGUCAUGCAGUGGUACCAGAAAUCAGCUGGAAACCGAGCUCUGAAACGCAUUGGACAUGUGUAUUACAGCAACAUAGAGCAGGAGAAGUCUUUCAAAGAGCAUUUUAACAUCACUGGAGAUAUGAGUGGAGACGGAGCAAAGAACAGCUCUCUGGUUAUAUACAACCUGAAGGCCCCUGAGCACAGUGCGGUGGACUACUGUGCAGCUAGCAGGGCACACUGACUGAACAUCCCCUCUCCGUUAGACAAAAACUCUCAACCAACUUUGAUCAACAUGUAUGGUUUUGAAUAAGAACCCCUCCCAGCCAGCUGCUCUUGAUUCGCUGCCAUCGUCUGUCAGACAUUAUACAGUGAUGCCGUUUCAUCUUCACUUCCUUUAACGUUUCAGUAGAGGCCUCAGUUGGAUCUCCAUCGCUCACAGGACCCAGGUUGAUAUUACAGUCAGCGACUUACACCUCAAACUCUAGGAUACAUACUUCGGAAAAGUAAUCUAUAAAAGGCGUUUGAGUAACGAUUUUGAGCAAGUCAAAAUGAUCAGUUUUCUUUUUUUCUGUUGCCUAGCAGGUGUGUGUCUGGGUCUUGAUGUCCAGCAGUCUCCCUCUGAUCUCAUCACCAAAUCUGGAGACAAAGUGGAGAUAUUCUGCAGCCAUGAUAAAACUGACUACAGGGUGAUGCUCUGGUACCAGCGCUCACCUGGAGACACGGCUAUGAAACUCAUUGGAUAUUUGUACUAUAAAGCUGCCACAAAGGAAGAGCCAUAUAAAGAACAUUUUAAUAUGUCUGGAGAUUUGGGGGUUAAUACAGUAAAAAACACCUCUCU